ensembl:lncRNA
GCUUUAGGCAGGCAGACUAUGUCAUUUUUCUCAGAUGGUUGUUGUGAAGACCCUCUCACUUGUAUUGUCUGAUGUGCAGUCAGUAUAACAUAGCUUGCAAGAAGCAGUUGAAAAGACCACUUGUAAUGUUGUGUCAUGGGCUUAAUUGUCAAGGAAACUCGUAGACAUGAGACCGACGAGAGUAAAGAAAAAAAACUGUGAAAUUCUAUCUAAUUCCCUGUGAUGUGUUCAAAUGUGUGAUGCUCAAGAUGGUGCUUAAGAUUUGGAGAAUUCAUUUGUUAGUGUGGAGCCUAAAUAGUCCUUUUUAAAAGGCUAGGCUCAGGCAUAGCCAGGCAGAGUCCAAACAGUUGUACUCCAGUACUGAAAGACAAAUCUACUAAAAGCCUUUGGCAUUCCCACAACCGUGUAAAGACAGAUGGUCCUACUGGAUGUCACAAAUGAUCCUUUUAUUGUAGGUAACUGUCAUCUUUUAGGGUUUUAUCCUCCUAAUCUGUCAUGUGUCCUUGCUGUCUCUAAGACUAUGUCAUGUUCUUUUUUUGAAGUACCAGCCUUCCCAUAAUCUGGUACAUUACAAAGUUUGGAAGAUGUUGCAAUGAGGGGUCGGCUGGCAUAUGCCCUAAGUAGAAGCUGAGUGAGUUGUGGGGAUUUCCUGAGUUCAAGGUACCUGAGCAGAGUGAGGCAGGACAGGUACCCACAGUCUGGAAUCACUGGUCAAGCUUUGUGUGUACACUGCUCUACUGUGGGUGGCAGUGCAGAACGAGAACUGGACGCUUAGCUGGCUUGCUCCUCACUACUCUCUCACAGAUUUUCAUCUUGGACCAAACUGCUUCUGAUCAAGGCACAGUCUCGUGUGUGAUAAGUUUCUCUUUAUGGGUUGGUUGAUGAGUUAGGAUUCUCAACGGAUACUGUUUUGUAGACCAUUGUGUGCCUCCAUUUUGAGCCCUGCUUUUGGUAUCACCAAGUCAUGUGAUCCCUCCAGACUUCUUCCCAACAUUUAUCAUCAUGUAUAAACCUUCCAUCCAGCUCUGAGAAUUCAUUUUCCAGAAAGUAGAUCAUCCUUGGAUGGCAAUGACAUCUUUGGGCCCUCAUAAGCCAAUCCUGGUGGAGAGUAGAGAUCUGUCAGUCAUUGGAGGAAAGAGUCUCUUCUGGUUCAUGAUGAGCAGAUUCCAGGCGACUUUUAUCAAGUGUAAUAAGGUGAUCUAGACCCUUUGUUUGUUAAGUAAGUGCCCAGAAAAUUUAUUUUACCCUCCUCCCCCACAUUUGCACAAAAGGCAUAAGAAGUCUACUGAAGUGUUUUGGGUCAUUAGAGCCCUGCUUGUGUCUUUAGCAAGGUACUGCUCUGCGAAGAAAACUCUGGACAGUGGCAUAUCUGCAAUGUGUCCCUAUAUCUUCACGAUGCUCCUAUGAGACCAGGAAAUAGAGAGCACACAGUAACAUUAAAAUAUAAACUCUGUUGUAUGACUGUUGGGCUGUGCACAGUAGAGUGGUCAUUCUUUAGAAGUACCAUUUGGACAUUUUUCAGCUAUGGAGAAAGAACCCUUUGUCCAUCAUCUUCACCGCUGGAUGUGUUUAUAUUUGUGUCGCAGACCUUGAGCUUUUGAGUCUCCAAGGGGAAUCUUGGUCAUGUUACUACAGGAUGUGCAGUGGGUCUCCUUGACUGUCUUCUGUACAUUGACAAAACAGGUGAUGCUUUCUAUAACUCGGCGUAGGUCCCUGAAGGUGUAGUUGUGUCUCUCUCCCUUUGAGUACCCAGGAUCUUCAUAUUCUCUGUGCUCACCCCAUUCUCAAAGUUUUGUAAAACUUGAUCCCCAGUCAUGGUCUGUCCACAAGUGACCAGGCAUUUGAUGUGUACUUGAGGACACCCCUGACUGGAUAUUUCCAGUUUUUACCCCAUUGUAGUGAGGAGAACAAAGACCUGGAGAUGUCAUAUUGUUCCCUAGUACAGGCCAUGCAGAAGAAAACUGGGCAACCAACAGCAGAAUUUCUGAGUGCUCGAACCCUGUCAUUUUCUACAGGUUGUCUAGCAAGCCUCUGGACAGGCAGCAUGGCAGAAAUCAACUCUUUCCAAAAAAAAGGCUGCUGCUGACACAGUGGAUAGAGCACACACAAGCUCCCUGUCUGACUCCUUCAGCUCCUGCAUGUCUCCUUGGCUAACAUUUCAGAGCUUCUGAUUCUUCAGACAUCAGCUUCUUGAUACUGAAGAGAUUGUUCUACCUGAUGAGCCCAGGCCUAGAAGAUGGACUGCAUCCAAGAAGCCUGGUCCAUCUAAGGCCAAGUCACAUCUUUAAGAAAUAUUUGAAAGCAUUUGUGCACAGGAUAAAGGUGCAAGGACCAAAGUCUCCUUAGACUUUCCAGCAUACAGAGGGUCUGACAGACUCAGGUCAAAGGUUACGUCUGAAGCCUAGAUUAUGAAGAAGGCCCCACUCCACAGUAGAAGCCUGUGGCUGAUGCUGUUGCAACCAGGACUAUGAUUGUGAAACUUUUGUCUGUUCAGGAUAGCAGGUUCAGGAAUCUUGUGCCCAGGUAUCCACAGGCCUUUUUUCAUACAUUUCUUGGUAUAAUUUUGCAAGUCCUGACUUUGGACAUGUCGGGUGCUGAUGGUAUCUCACUUGAUAUAUAGUCCAAGAAAGAUUUUUACCCCUUUAAGGGGCUGGAAAUAGACUGGCCUCACAGUUACCAUUAAAACUGAAGUUCUGUCCUUUGUGGUUAUUGGCCCUUUUAAAACUUGUUUGACUGGAAACAAAGCUCAGAGCCUGAUAUUUCCAAGAUUCACCCCUACAAAAUUCAGAAACCCACAGCUCAAAGCAGUACAGAUACCACUCAGAAAUGAAUCCAAGGACAAGGUGUCUGACAUGAGAAUCUUACAGAUUUAUUUAAAGGUCCAGGACUCAGCAACACUACACCUACGUAGAAUCAUUCAGGGAUUCCCCCGUUAGAAUUUGGGAGCUGCCAUUCACAGAAAUGACCCAUGGGAGACUCUUAUUUCCAUAUCAUAGCCUCCAUGACCCAUAGUGCUGUGACUGCCAUGCUCUCUGUCAAACUCCACAGGAGGUCACCAUUAGUAGAAUAACAGUGCAGGGCAGCAGAGCAGUACAGUGGCCCUAGGGUGGUGUCGUGGGUGGUUCCAGAAGAUACUGACAUCACACCACCCUCUACAUCUAGAAUGAAAGGAAGAGGAACACGGGAGGGAGUGUGUGAUUGAAUUCAUGGCCCAAAGCAGCCUAGGUGUCAGCUAUCAGUCUGGAAGAGCACGUCUGCCUCUGUAUGGAGGAUUCAGGUCAGGAAUGUGACCGGAACCAGAUGAAUCAAUUCUCGCAAGAGGAAAGUCCUUUACGUGACAUCUUGCACCACAACAGAAUAGCCACAAGAUAGCUUGUCCUUAUAGGAACUGGCACACCAAGGGCAUAGGGGAAGUCUCUGGAAUAUACAGGAUUGGUUGAGUACCACACAGGAUGGCUGACAAGCUAGCAGAAGAGUAGGACACACACUGAGGUCAAGUGCCAGGUAUCAUGACCUAUGUAGCCACACAGCUGGACUGAAGGGCUUUCUUGCUCUGACUGAAGCAGAACCAAAGCAGGGCCUGCCUCAGCCUCCAUCUGUACCUUGGCUCUAGCUGCUUCUUUCUCUUGCAAGUCACAAGCAUCAUGAAGCAACUGUCUUGGUUCCCGAAACCACAUGGUCUUUGUUCACGUUAAAGACAGGGCAUGCAAGAAUGUAUUCUCCUCCUACCUAUGUGCUGGACUAGGGACAGGAGACCAGAUUCCUAGGCCUGAACUUCUGACCAUUCCCAUAGUGUAUCAGGGAAAUAUUUAACCUUGGAUUUCCUGCUCUUAGAGGCCAAAAUAAACCUGUCAGUCCGGGAGUCUUAUCAAGAAUGAUACUCUGGGAUUCAUCUAAGCCAGGCCUCUUACUCAACCCUUCUGCUGCCUAUUUCCUGGUGCUAAGCAUGGACCUCAAAGUCACCCUAAGCCUGCAUCCUGAGUUCACACCCUGAGAUGCACUUAAGACUGACCUGAGAGCUGCUCAAGAGGACACACACGGGUUACACCACAAAGAAAAGUCUAUCAAAGCUGACAUAGGCCAGGAGUUUGGCCCCUGACUCGACAGUGCUUGUCCAGUGAGUGUUUUACACAUUAUAUGGAACCCCAGGACCAGAGCCAGAGUCACAAAGUCAGGGGCAGUAUAUAGUGUGCAAUUAAUAGCCAAUGGAAUCUUCGGUAGCAAGCUAAGAACCUGCAGAGAAACCUCAAACCCAGCCUGCUGGAUGGUGCCAAGAUCCAGUAAGUAACACUUCCUAAGAGAAAACUCUUCCUGGGAGAAUUGCAGCCCAGUAAAUGGAUGCUCUCACGAUUCUCGGUGAAAUAACUCAUGGACCUUUUUCCUUGUGAACAGGGAACUUCAAAACAUCAUGGGGUGAGGUGAGGUGAGAUCCAGGGAAGAAGGCUGCCCUUUGGCUCAAUCUGAGAAGUUAGGAUGCUUCAUUUGCAGGGGGGAGGAUCUCAGGUGUUGUCCCUAAGUGACAUCAUCAUCCUGGUGAAAUGUCAUGUCACUUGUACUGAGACCAGUAGGCCUGAGUUGUAACUAAUGCCUACACUUUUCAAUUAGGA